rnacentral:rRNA from 1 species
UGAAACUGAUCUCCCCGUGAAGAAGCGGGGAUAAGUAUAUUAGACGAGAAGACCCCAUGGAGCUUUAAACCCGACAGCACCCACUUAUUUAACACCUUCUUAUCCGCCUGGCCCCUGUCUGCUCGGUUUUGGGUUGGGGUGACCGCGGAGCAUAAAAUAGCCUCCACGAAAGAAGGGAUGAUUCCCUCAUUUUAGAACUACACUUCCAAAGACUAACAAAUUAAUUUUAAGUGAUCCGAUACCCGUAUUCGAUCAACGAACCAAGUUACCCUGGGGAUAACAGCGCAAUCUACCUCAAGAGCCCCUAUCGACAGGUGGGUUUACGACCUCGAUGUUGGAUCAGGGUAUCCCAGUGGUGCAGCAGCUACCAAAGGUUCGUUUGUUCAACGAUUAAAACCCU